rnacentral:rRNA from 1 species
AGAGCGAACGCUGGCGGCAGGCUUAACACAUGCAAGUCGAACGGACCUUUCGGGGUUAGUGGCGGACGGGUGAGUAACACGUGGGAACGUGCCUUUAGGUUCGGAACAACACAGGGAAACUUGUGCUAAUACCGGAUAAGCCUUUCGAGGGAAAGAUUUAUCGCCUUUAGAGCGGCCCGCGUCUGAUUAGCUAGUUGGUGAGGUAAAGGCUCACCAAGGCUACGAUCAGUAGCUGGUCUGAGAGGAUGGCCAGCCACAUUGGGACUGAGACACGGCCCAAACUCCUACGGGAGGCAGCAGUGGGGAAUCUUGCGCAAUGGGCGGAAGCCUGACGCAGCCAUGCCGCGUGGAUGAUGAAGGUCUUAGGAUUGUAAAAUCCUUUCAGCGGGGACGAUAAUGACGGUACCCGCAGAAGAAGCCCCGGCUAACUUCGUGCCAGCAGCCGC